UACAGAGGGUGCAAGCGUUGUUCGGAAUUAUUGGGCGUAAAGGGCGCGUAGGCGGUGCGGUAAGUCUCUAGUGAAAUCUCCGGGCUCAACUCGGAGCCUGCUAGGGAAACUGCCGUGCUUGAGUGUGGGAGAGGUGAGUGGAAUUCCCGGUGUAGCGGUGAAAUGCGUAGAUAUCAGGAGGAACACCAAUGGCGAAGGCGAGUCCCUGGACAACUCCUGACACUGAGGCACGAAAGCUAGGGGAGCAAACAGG
rnacentral:rRNA from 1 species